GCCUUGUUGGCUCAAUCGGUAGCGCGUGUGACUCUUAAUCACAAGGUUAGGGGUUCGAUCCCCCUACAGGGCU
rfam:Tetrapisispora phaffii CBS 4417 chromosome 8, complete genome